GUAUUUACCAUGUUAACCAUUUAUAAAUGUACAGUUCAGUGGUAUUAAGUCCGUUCAUGUUGUUAUGCAACCAUCACCAUCAUCCAUCUACAGAACACUUUUCAUCUUCCCCAGCCGGAACUCUUGACCCUUUAAAAUAUAACCUCCCACUUUCCCCGCCCCCUAGCCUCUGGCAGCCACCUUUCUACUUUCUGUCUCCAUGAUCUUGACUACUCUAGGUACCUCAUCCCUGAGCUAACGUCCAUGCCCACCUUCCUCUACUGUAUAUGUGGGACGCCUGCCUCAGCAUGGCUUGACAAGUGGUACCAUGUCUGCGCUUGGGAUCUGAACCGGUGAACCCCGGGCCACCGAAGCAGAAUGUUGGAACUUAAGCACUGUGCCGCUGGGCUGGCCCCGUAACAUAGUCCUUUCCAUGGUUACAUGAUAUCCCGUUGUGUGGAUGUGUUAUAGUUAAUUUAAGCAGCCCUCUAUUGAUGAGUAGGCAAGUGGUAGUCCACUUUAGCUGUUUAUAAAAUGCCACGGUAAACAUCCUCUCCAUAGGUCUUUAUGUAUGCGUGAAGUAUGUUUGUAGGCUAACUUCUUGGAAAUAGAAUUGUUGGGGUAAAGGCUAUGUGUACUUUUAAUUUUCAUAAAUUCUGCCUAAUUGCCAUUCAAAAAAGUUGUACCUAAUUUCACUCUCACUGGUGACUUGUGAUAGUUUAGCCAAAUUUAUUCACAGAAUUGUCUACUCUUGCUUUCUCCACUGCUUCACCUCCUGCUUACUUAUUUGGCUUCACUCUAUGACUCCACCUUAAAUGGAUCUAAGGUCACCAAUGAUCUUCAGGUUGUCCAUUGGACAGUUUUCAGGUCUCAUCUCACUGCCUCUCAGAAAUGUUUUAUACAGUUAACCACUCUCUCCUUUCUGAAACACACUUGCCCUGGCUUUCAUAAGGCCAUACUGUAACUACAGGACCGGAAACAGAAUUUGCCACCCCAAAAUAUGCCUCUUUGGUAUAAGAAUUAUUUUG
rnacentral:lncRNA from 1 species